rnacentral:rRNA from 1 species
UACGUAGGGUGCAAGCGUUAAUCGGAAUUACUGGGCGUAAAGCGUGCGUAGGCGGCUAUGUAAGACCGAUGUGAAAUCCCUGGGCUCAACCUAGGAACUGCAUUUGUGACUGCAUAGCUAGAGUGUGGUAGAGGGAGAUGGAAUUCCGCAUGUAGCAGUGAAAUGCGUAGAUAUCGGGAGGAACACCAGUGGCGAAGGCGACUACCUGGCCUGUUCUUGACGCUGAGGCGCGAAAGCUAGGGGAGCAAACGGG